rnacentral:rRNA from 2 species
GGGAUGGCAGGUAGCUCGUUGGCUGUGCUUGUGGCUUGCUGCAGGCUUGGUCUCGGGUGUAAUCGGCUGACCGCAUCGGUACUGUGCGAUAUGUCGGAGACGGCGGCUUGUGAUGUGUGCGUGCGUGCCAGUUGAUCGGCGUAUCCGGGUUUGGUUAUUAUGUUGCCUGUGUAAGCAGGUCUGGUAAUAGCUCGGAUUCGUUCGGUUUGCGGUUGCGUGCGUGUCAUUUUCCAGGGCCAAUAGUCUGUGGUGUUGCGGUAGACUAUCCACCUGACCCGUCUUGAAACACGGACCAAGGAGAGUAACAUGUGCGCGAGUCAUUGGGCGUAACGAAACCCAAAGGCGAAGUGAAAGUAAAGGUCUGGCUUGUCUAGACUGAGGUGAGAUCCUGUCGUUUCUCACGCGCGGAAUCCCCAAGCUCCGAGCGGCAGGCGCAUCACCGGCCCGUCCCAUGGUGUGGUGACAAUCCUUGGAAAGUUCGUCACCGGGGCGGAGCAUGAGCGUACAUGUUGAGACCCGAAAGAUGGUGAACUAUGCUUGCGCAGGUUGAAGCCAGAGGAAACUCUGGUGGAGGACCGCAGCGAUUCUGACGUGCAAAUCGAUCGUCAGACGUGAGUAUAGGGGCGAAAGACUAAUCG